CCCUUAGACGUUCUUGGCCGCACGCGCGCUACACUGACCAGUGCAACAAGCAUCCGUCCUUGGCCGACAGGCCCGGGCAAUCUUUGAACGCUGGUCGUGAUGGGGAUAGACUUUUGCAAUUUUUGGUCUUCAACGAGGAAUUCCUAGUAAACGCAAGUCAUCAACUUGCAUUGAUUACGUCCCUGCCCUUUGUACACACCGCCCGUCGCACCUACCGAUUGAAUGGUCCGGUGAAGCCUCCGGAUUGGCGCGCACCUCGGUGCCGCCGAGAAGUUGGCUAAACCUUACCAUUUAGAGGAAGGUGAAGUCGUAACA
rnacentral:rRNA from 1 species